CUCCUCUGGUCCACAGAUGUCUCAGGAUGCAGCCCCGCCCUUUCUUGGUUGCUACAGUGGGGUUUGCAAAUGACCCGGCACUCCCGAGUGGUAACCGACCUUAAGGUGGACUUCCACAAAAGGAACCAAAGAAACCUGCAGGCUCUGUCUAUUCACCCAGGGAUCGCUUUCCUGGUGGUGAAAUGAAACCAGCUUCUUUGUGGAACGGAGUGAUCACCGGCUGCCAGUAACACGACCCUCGACAAUGUGUAGAGAGGGAAAUGAAGGCUAGGUCAUCCGAAGGAAACUACAGGGGAAUUUUAGAUCAGCAGAAUGCAAUUAUCCAAGUUGGAAUUGUUCCAGGACACCAAAAGCGAACUUUAAAGCAAACUGUACUCCCAAAAUGGGACUCAAACACAUGACCUAGAGAUCAAGAGUCACAUGUUCUACUGACUGAACAG